rnacentral:lncRNA from 1 species
AAUGGAAGAAAAUAUAAAAAGAGAAUACUUAUAUUUAUGUAUGUAUAUAUCUGAACCACUUUGCUGCACACAUGAAACUAACACAACAUAGUGUGUGUAUGUGUGUGUGUUUAGUCGCUAAGUCAUGUCUGACUCUUUGCGACCCCAUCCUUUGGAUCCUUGGAUUUCCCAGACGAAAAGACUGGAGUGGGUUGCCAUUUCCUUCUCCAGGGGAUCUGCCCAACCCAGGGACUAAACCUGCAUCUCCUGAAUUGCAGUAGAUUCUUUACCCACUGAGCCGCUGGGGAAACCCAACAUAUGUAGGUCAACUAUAUUUGAAUAAAAUUGUUUUUAAAAGUCUUUGUUGAUCUGCAGGAGUCAGCAAACUACAGCCUGCUGGCCAAACAGCCCAUUGCCUGUUUUUAUGUGGCCAGUGAGCUAAGAAGAAUUUUUACAGAUGAACAUUUUCAAUCAAUUUGAUACUAAGGAACACUAAACUUUGAGCGCCAGUUAAGCAAAAUGUUACCCACUGAAAGGGAAUUGCGGGGGUUUUUUUCAUCAGAAGACUUGUAUUACAAAAAUUAUACUCAACUGUUAUAUUUUGAAUUAGUAAGAUAUUUAUGGAAAUUUGUUUUCUCUCCUGUUAUAUAAGUAUCUAUAAUAUCCUUGAUUUUACCUCGUGACCAACAAAGCCUGAAAUAUUUACUGUGUGGCUCUUCACAGAAAAAGUUCAUGUGAUCUGUAUAUAUUAACCACAGUAAUACUGCAGUUUUAAAGAACUGUCUGAAGAAAGCAAGUAACGAAAGAACAUGGCCCAUGGACAUGGACAUGAACAUGGUCCUAGUAAAAUGGAACUUCCAGAUUAUAAAACAAUGGAAGAUAGAAGGGACACCAUUAGAAACUGUCCAAGAGAAACUGGCUGCACGAGGACUAAGGGAUCCAUGGGGCCGCAAUGAAGCUUGGAGAUACAUGGGUGGCUUUGCAAAUAAUGUUUCCUUUGUUGGAGCAUUAUUAAAAGGAUUCAAGUGGGGAUUUGCUGCAUUUGUGGUAGCUGUAGGGGCUGAAUAUUACCUGGAGUCCCAGAAAAAGAUAAGAAACACUGAAGAUAAUACCUGGAAAUAUCUUUUAAUGUCUUAACUUUCUUAUUAAAAGAUUUCUUCACUGUAGCCUACUCACCUAUGUGUUUAUUCCUUAAGGAAUGCUAGUAAGAUUUUAAAAUAAGAAAAACAUGUA